rnacentral:rRNA from 1 species
UCGGGAAUUUUGGGCAAUGGGCGAAAGCCUGACCCAGCAACGCCGCGUGAAGGAUGAAGUAUUUCGGUAUGUAAACUUCGAAAGAAUAGGAAGAAUAAAUGACGGUACUAUUUAUAAGGUCCGGCUAACUACGUGCCAGCAGCCGCGGUAAUACGUAGGGACCAAGCGUUGUUCGGAUUUACUGGGCGUAAAGGGCGCGUAGGCGGCAAUUCAAGUCAUCUGUGAAAUCUCCGGGCUUAACUCGGAACGGUCAGAUGAUACUGCUUUGCUAGAGUGCAGAAGGGGCAAUCGGAAUUCUUGGUGUAGCGGUGAAAUGCGUAGAUAUCAAGAGGAACACCUGAGGUGAAGACGGAUUGCUGGGCUGACACUGACGCUGAGGCGCGAAAGCCAGGGGAGCAAACGGGAUUAGAUACCCCCGUAGUCCCUGAGCGGGCUGGCAAGGCGCAU